rnacentral:rRNA from 1 species
GUGAGGAAUUUUCCGUAAUGGGCGAAAGCCUGACGGAGCAAUGCCGCGUGAAGGAUGAAGGCCUAUGGGUUGUAAACUUCUUUUCUCAGAAAAGAAUUAUGACGGUAUCUGAGGAAUAAGCAUCGGCUAACUCUGUGCCAGCAGCCGCGGUAAGACAGAGGAUGCAAGCGUUAUCCGGAAUGAUUGGGCGUAAAGCGUCUGUAGGUUGUUUAAAAAGUAUUCUGUCAAAGAUUAGGGCUUAACCCUAGAUAGGCAGAAUAAACUUUUAAGCUAGAGUUUGGUAGAGGCAGAGGGAAUGCCCGGUGGAGCGGUGAAAUGCGUAGAUAUCGGGAGGAACACCAAAGGCGAAGGCACUCUGCUGGGCCAAUACUAACACUGAGAGACGAAAGCGAGGGGAGCAAAUGGGAUUAGAUACCCCUGUAGUCC